GACGAACGCUGGCGGCGUGCCUAAUACAUGCAAGUAGAACGCACAGUUUAUACCGUAGCUUGCUACACCAUAGACUGUGAGUUGCGAACGGGUGAGUAACGCGUAGGUAACCUGCCUGGCAGCGGGGGAUAACUAUUGGAAACGAUAGCUAAUACCGCAUAAUAUUAAUUAUUGCAUGAUAAUUAAUUGAAAGGUGCAAUUGCACCACUACCAGAUGGACCUGCGUUGUAUUGGCUAGUAGGUGAGGUAACGGCUCACCUAGGCGACGAUACAUAGCCGACCUGAGAGGGUGAUCGGCCAAACUGGGACUGAGACACGGCCCAGACUCCUACGGGAGGCAGCAGUAGGGAAUCUUCGGCAAUGGACGAAAGUCUGACCGAGCAACGCCGCGUGAGUGAAGAAGGUUUUCGGAUCGUAAAGCUCUGUUGUAAGAGAAGAACGGGUGUGAGAGUGGAAAGUUCACACUGUGACGGUAGCUUACCAGAAAGGGACGGCUAACUACGUG
rnacentral:rRNA from 1 species